rnacentral:rRNA from 1 species
UACGUGGGGAGCAAGCGUUGUUCGGAUUUCCUGGGCGUAAAGGGCGCGUAGGCGGCCUGUGCAAUUCAGUUGUGAAAUCUCCGAGCUUAACUCGGAAAGGUCAACUGAUACUGCUCGGCUAGAGUGCGGAAGGGGCAACUGGAAUUCUUGGUGUAGCGGUGAAAUGCGUAGAUAUCAAGAGGAACACCUGCGGCGAAGGCGGGUUGCUGGGCCGACACUGACGCUGAUGCGCGAAAGCUAGGGGAGCGAACGGG